AGCUCCAAUAGCGUAUAUUAAAGUUGUUGCAGUUAAAAAGCUCGUAGUUGGAUUCCUGGCGAGAGCGGCCGGUCUGGUCCGAAUGGGCUAGUACUUUGCGCUGUCUUUGGCCAUCCUUUGGAAGAAUCCGUGUGGCAUUCAUUUGUCGUGCGGGGGACUCCAAUCGUUUACUGUGAAAAAAUUAGAGUGUUUAAAGCAGGCAUUUGCUGUGAAUACAUUAGCAUGGAAUAAUAAGAUAGGACUUUGGUGCUAUUUUGUUGGUUUGCACACCAAGGUAAUGAUUAACAGGGACAGUUGGGGGUAUUCGUAUUUAAUUGUCAGAGGUGAAAUUCAUGGAUUUAUGAAAGACGAACUACUGCGAAAGCAUUUACCAAGGAUGUUUUCAUUAAUCAAGAACGAA
rnacentral:rRNA from 1 species